AAAUUGAAGAGUUUGAUCAUGGCUCAGAUUGAACGCUGGCGGCAGGCCUAACACAUGCAAGUCGAACGGUAACAGGAAGCAGCUUGCUGCUUCGCUGACGAGUGGCGGACGGGUGAGUAAUGUCUGGGAAACUGCCUGAUGGAGGGGGAUAACUACUGGAAACGGUAGCUAAUACCGCAUAAUGUCGCAAGACCAAAGAGGGGGACCUUCGGGCCUCUUGCCAUCGGAUGUGCCCAGAUGGGAUUAGCUUGUUGGUGGGGUAACGGCUCACCAAGGCGACGAUCCCUAGCUGGUCUGAGAGGAUGACCAGCCACACUGGAACUGAGACACGGCCCAGACUCCUACGGGAGGCAGCAGUGGGGAAUAUUGCACAAUGGGCGCAAGCCUGAUGCAGCCAUGCCGCGUGUAUGAAGAAGGCCUUCGGGUUGUAAAGUACUUUCAGCGGGGAGGAAGGGAGUAAAGUUAAUACCUUUGCUCAUUGACGUUACCCGCAGAAGAAGCACCGGCUAACUCCGUGCCAGCAGCCGCGGUAAUACGGAGGGUGCAAGCGUUAAUCGGAAUUACUGGGCGUAAAGCGCACGCAGGCGGUUUGUUAAGUCAGAUGUGAAAUCCCCGGGCUCAACCUGGGAACUGCAUCUGAUACUGGCAAGCUUGAGUCUCGUAGAGGGGGGUAGAAUUCCAGGUGUAGCGGUGAAAUGCGUAGAGAUCUGGAGGAAUACCGGUGGCGAAGGCGGCCCCCUGGACGAAGACUGACGCUCAGGUGCGAAAGCGUGGGGAGCAAACAGGAUUAGAUACCCUGGUAGUCCACGCCGUAAACGAUGUCGACUUGGAGGUUGUGCCCUUGAGGCGUGGCUUCCGGAGCUAACGCGUUAAGUCGACCGCCUGGGGAGUACGGCCGCAAGGUUAAAACUCAAAUGAAUUGACGGGGGCCCGCACAAGCGGUGGAGCAUGUGGUUUAAUUCGAUGCAACGCGAAGAACCUUACCUGGUCUUGACAUCCACGGAAGUUUUCAGAGAUGAGAAUGUGCCUUCGGGAACCGUGAGACAGGUGCUGCAUGGCUGUCGUCAGCUCGUGUUGUGAAAUGUUGGGUUAAGUCCCGCAACGAGCGCAACCCUUAUCCUUUGUUGCCAGCGGUCCGGCCGGGAACUCAAAGGAGACUGCCAGUGAUAAACUGGAGGAAGGUGGGGAUGACGUCAAGUCAUCAUGGCCCUUACGACCAGGGCUACACACGUGCUACAAUGGCGCAUACAAAGAGAAGCGACCUCGCGAGAGCAAGCGGACCUCAUAAAGUGCGUCGUAGUCCGGAUUGGAGUCUGCAACUCGACUCCAUGAAGUCGGAAUCGCUAGUAAUCGUGGAUCAGAAUGCCACGGUGAAUACGUUCCCGGGCCUUGUACACACCGCCCGUCACACCAUGGGAGUGGGUUGCAAAAGAAGUAGGUAGCUUAACCUUCGGGAGGGCGCUUACCACUUUGUGAUUCAUGACUGGGGUGAAGUCGUAACAAGGUAACCGUAGGGGAACCUGCGGUUGGAUCACCUCCUUACCUUAAAGAAGC
rnacentral:rRNA from 1 species